rnacentral:tRNA from 1 species
CAGGGCAUAAUUUAAUUAGAAUAGCGGCUCUGGGAGCCGAUAAUAGAGGUUUGAAUCCUUUUGCCUUGA